CUUCCUACGGGGGGCAGCAGUGGGGAAUAUUGCACAAUGGGCGAAAGCCUGAUGCAGCAACGCCGCGUGCGGGAUGAAGGCUUUCGGGUUGUAAACCGCUUUCAGCAGGGAUGACAUCGACAGUACCUGCAGAAGAAGCCCCGGCUAACUACGUGCCAGCAGCCGCGGUAAUACGUAGGGGGCGAGCGUUAUCCGGAUUCAUUGGGCGUAAAGCGCACGCAGGCGGGCUUGCAAGCGGGGCCUUUAAUCUUGGGGCUUAACCUCCAGUCGGGUUCCGAACUGCAAGCCUC
rnacentral:rRNA from 1 species